CUAAAUCAUCACUGAGGUUCUUCCAGUCUGUUUUGUUAAGAUAGAGCUUGAAAAACUCCUGAAUACUAUUAUAAUGUGUAGUUUCCUGCAAUAACAUGACUUGUCCAAUGCCUUCUUUUCUGGUCCUCCGUUCCUACUCUACAGGCACACACAAAUCUGCUGCUAUCCAGAGAGUAUCUUAUUAAGUUAUAUAUAAUUCUUUACAUUCAUCAAUAUCAAAACGAAACCUUGCAUGUUCAUAUCUGAGAGCAGAAAUUUCAUCUUAGUGGAAAUCAGAUCAAUUAAUCUUGAAGACACUGAA